rnacentral:misc_RNA from 1 species
UGUGCAACAGAACAGCUAAUAAGCCAUAAUAAUUAUGAGGCACAAGGCCAAGUAUGGUAAAUAAAAUCAAAAUAGCCAAAGCUUAUUAUAUCACAGAAUGGCAUGAAAGGCCAUAAAGCACAAAAUGGCGUGAAGCCAUAUGCAGUACUAGUAACAGAACUCUAUUGGCAUGCUAACCUAUCCAACCCAAUCUUUCUAGGCAUACUAGGGUAUUUUAUACAGUAAAUUAUGUAAUUACUUAUAUUUAUAGUAUAGAGGUUACUAUUCACUUAACUAUUUCCGCUCAAAGGUUGACUUUUUAAUUUAUAAUAGAU